AUGGUUUGUAAUUACCGUAAUCAGAAAGAGAGCAUUUCUAACGUGCCAGAAACAUGCACUGAGGUCACAGCAGGAGGACGGAGGGGCCAGCUGAAACAAAACAAGGAGCACAGAAAGUCACCUGCAGUCGAUAGGAUUCUCAGCAGGCAGCUGGAAGUCACGGUGGCUGCAGACCACAGACCGUCUGUCUUAUACUGUCUCUGAUGAACCACACACGAUCGGAAAAUGUCUUUCGGAUCAGCCAAACAAAAUCUGAUGUCAAAUGGACUCAAGUCUGCAUCAAAAUCUCCUUGUCACUUUGGAUAAAAGCAUCUGCUAAACGACAACUUCCUGUACUCUACGAAAGAUGAAAGGUGAAAGAAAAUAAGUGCUAAUCUCAAUCUUUUGAUCAUUAAAAUGAACUCUGCAUUGAAAGGGCGUUAAAUGUUAUGGUUUAUUGAAUUUUAACUACUCCCUGCCUUGUGGCUAAUGGCCAAAUCGUACAGCCAGUCACUGGGGGGCUACAGCCCUUUGUGCAACCAAAAUGGCUGCAUGUAGGUCUGCAAAAAAAAAAAAAAAAGUUAUAAAAGAAAAUCCUAAUACUUCCUAUUUGUACCCUCUUCUCUAAUCUGGGUUUUAAAUGCUUCCAAUGGACUCUUAAUUGUUUUUUUUUUUUUUUACUUAAACAGGUGCUCACAGUCUUUCAGUGGCCUUGGUUUAAAAAAAAUGAGAGGGGGAUGAUGGGAUUUAAUGGUCCACACCAGAGAACAAAGCUCGGCUUCAUACAAAGGUGGAAGUCUCUGGCUGUGUGCCAGUCCACAGUCAAUGCCCAAAAACACGUACAUGAACGCUGCCUGUUUUGGAUGGCUUUUAGAAAUGAAAAAAAUAAUAAUAACAAAAUAAAAUACCACAGUAUGCUUAAUUGGGGAUGUUGAAAACUCACUUCUUGUACUGGGCAGUUUUUGAUCUUUAGAUUCUGCCUGCCAUUCCUCGCAACUCUGAAUGAAAGUUUUUAAUCCCAUGGAGAUUUUCCUGCAUGUUAGUAGGUCCUUUCAUAAAGCGUGCAGGCCUUCCCCUCCCUCGCCAAGCCCAUAGAAACAGGACUCUCUCUGUGCCUUAGAGGGCCUGCUGGAGUUUUGAGGGCCGUUUCUCCACUGUAAGCCUUUGAGGAGGCUGGCCUUUGAAGUCCUGGAGUCCACCAAUAGCUGCACUUUGAGUGCCUGACAUUAAUUGUUCCCAGAGAAACACAGAAGGACCUACAGCAUGAAGAUGAGUGGACCAAAGCACCCACCGACUGUACACCUGUGACCCUCCAUCACCCCGAACAUUGUAAGGGUACUUUUGACAGGUUACUUGUGCCUGUUUUCUUAAAGGUUCUGGAGAUUUUGAGUCUGAGCAGGCUUAGGCUGCCAAAGAAGACCAUGUACAAUCACAAUUUGAACUUACUUUUUAACUUAAAUUUAACUUAAUCUUUUUUUCUUUUUUUUCACUUUUGUGAAUCAGAGUGCAUGUAAUUCAGAGUAUUUAUUUUUGAGACUUGGAGAAACAGUGAAUAAUUUUUUGAAGCGAUUAAAAAAAAUUAUCUCAUCACUAUUUUUUUUAUUAUUUUUUUUAAAUCCUAUCGAUUUAACACACUUAAUGACAAUAAUGGUUUGACUUAAUUUUUACAAUAACCGAAAUUAUUUGUUAAGUUUAGUUUAGUUUAGUUUUACUUUGCUAACUAAGAACACACUCCCGAAACCAUUUCAUAUAAUUUGCAAGCAUCUGGACCCAAACCUGGCCAGAGAUCAUUCAUGCAAUGCAUGCUGGGCAACUGGUGCCUCUACAUUGUUUUUUGACAUUUAAGACAGCAUGAAUUUUUUAGAUAUUUCAUGUUGUUGUUGCUAGAACAAGAUUAUUGACUCAAGACGUGCUUGCAUUUGCUAAUAAUCGAAAAGCAUUGCUUUUCCAUCAUUAACUCAAUUGGAUGUAAAAUGCAAAUGGUAAACCUAGUUACCCUGUGUGAAAACUAGCAUUGUAAACACACAAAUGUGCAUGAAGGAUGUAACUGUGUUCCAGCAACAGGGCAUGAACACCCUAAAAUGAAAGUACAUCACCUUUAAUUAAAAUUAAUUCUGUUUUAUCACGGCUGAGUUGACACAGUGAAAUGUUCUCCGCUCUGAGCCGCAGAUAUUAGAGCAACGCAGCCGGAGGUAAAUCAGUCUGUCAUUCCACUUUGAUCUCUCCAAACAAGUAGCAUAAACACUGUGAAAUUAAACGCAUGACAAUUUCACAUCAGAUUUUUGUUACAUGUGUAUUUAUUGAUUUUUAUCUCAUUUUCCUCAUAAAUGUGUAAUAGGUUUUGAUUUUGAUUUUUUUUAUAUUGUGAUGUAUUGCGGAUCAGGUCUUAUUUUGUAUAAACAAAUGGGCAACAAUUGCUGCUUUCCAUCUCUUUAUCUAUGCUUCAUUUAUAUUUAUAUUAAUUACACUGCCCAUGUACUUGCUGAAUUCGCUGAAUGAAAUCCAAUACUUGUUUCAUACUAAUUGUGGGGCACUGAUUGCAAAAAUAGUUCCUGUUUUGCUUGAGCAUGUCAAACUUUCUCAAAAAAUUGUUAUACAUGAAUACAUAUGCCAUUACAUUUUUGCAUUCAACAACUAUUUAUAAGAUGAAGUCAUCUUGUAUUAUCCCUAAUCACCUGAAAAAAAAAAAAAAAAGGCAAAAAGAUAUGAUUGCCACCCUCCUCUGAUUUUUACAAAUAUGACAUUUUCUUAUCCUGAUUUCAGGGCUAGAAAUAGCCAUUAUCACCAGUGACAAAAAAAGAAAAUGCAAACAUAUUUUCUGCUACAACUGGGAAUGUUUUACAAAACAGUGAUGGAAAAUAGAGAUUUUGUUUAAAAAAUAAAUAAAUAAAAAGCUCAUUUUGUAAACUCUUUCUUAUUAAACUUCAAAUUUGAAUAUAUUUCCCUCACUCCUUUGCAUAUUAAGUUAAAUGAUACAUUUUGAAAACUUAUUUUUGUCAUUAAAACAGAAAAUGUGGAAUUUGCAUGAGAUACUAUCACUGUAUUGUGCUAUGAUAAGAGAUAUCAGGUUGGCAUUGUCCUUCAGCUCUUGGCUACUAAAAGUGGGCACCGUUCACUAAUCAGAAGCUGAUGACAGAGCGACAGACACAUUUGCAGUCUGUUAGUACAGUAUGAAAAUUUGCACGUGUCACAUCCUUCUAGCCGAACUCUAAUUGGAUGAUCAAUCUUCCUGAAAUUGUAGCGGUCCAGGAGCCGCUGUGGUGUGAUGACAUCUUCACAGCCUCUGACAGCUCACAAUUUCCUCCUUUCAUCUUUAGUGUGUUUCCUGACCUUCAGGGGUCAUGGAUAAAUUUAUCCACAUACAUCAUCCUGGCCGGUAAAAGCAGUCACUGGAGGCAUGUAUGAUUGGAUGUGUGUGUCUGGUGGAGGAAUGGGUUGUGUGCAUGAUUUAUAUCAGUGAAUUGUUGAAGAGGGAAAGCAUUUGCUUGCUUCCUGUUGCUAUAAACCCUGGCCAAGGCCUUUAAUGAGUUAAUGAGUUUAUCUUCAUCAGGAUUUGGAGCACAGAUACUCGACCUCAACCAGCUGUGUAUUGAAAAGCCAAGAAUCGGUUUACGAUGCUGACGUGAUCCAGGUGGCCUUGUUUACUACAACCAGCCUAAUGGGGCUCUCAAAGUGCAAAAAACAUUAUAAUUUCAAUUAUAUUUCUAUUCAGUUUUUUUCCCCAAGUUAAAUUUCAGACUAUGAAAUAAAUGUAAAGGGUGUAUGUAUACAUAUAAACACACCUUUGUGUUUAAAGGGGAAGAAAAUACUCCAGUGUCCUUUAUAUGCAAGUCAGUCCUGAAAUCCUUUAAUGGUUAGCAAGGGUUCCCAGAGCGGAGUGAAAUGAAUGGGCCCGAGGACAGGCGAAGCUGGGGUCCACACACUUCAUCCUUACAAUGACCCACUUUCAGCUGAAAACAAGGCCGAAUAAAUGCUGGACACCAUCCCACCGUUCAAAAUAAAGCUUCCAGUCUGAAGUGAAAGAGUUUUAUAGUCUGAUGUCAUAAGAGAAUAGUCUUUUGUGUAGUUCUUUAAAAAAAAUAAAAGAUCUAUACCGGUGCUUUAAAGAAUCCAAUAGAGCGAUGUGAAGAAUCUAUAUGUAACAUCGAUAGCUUAUUGACUCUCCAAAGAACCAUUUCACCAACCUGAAGCCUAUAUAGUCAAAAAAAAAAAUUAAAUAAAAUUUUUUUUCUCAACAUAAAGUGGCAUUUGCAGCCUAUUUCUGCCUCUCAGAAUAUUUACCAAUGAAAUCCAUCAGGAAUUGUAGUGACUGUAUAAAAUGAGCAUUAAAAUCGAAAUAGGGAGGCACAAGGUCAAGUUCAAUUUCCACAACAGUAACUUUUUAUUCCACAUCUCUUUGCUUUUAUUUACUAAUAUAAAUAUAUACAUAUCCUAUCAAUGUUAGGACUGAUGGUGGAUUGUCAAAGUCAAAGUAGUGGUACAAGAUCUUUUCUGGUCAAAACUGGUUUUGAUUUGAAAGACUCUUCAAGAUAGGAACAGAGUAGAGAAUAAAUCUUAAAACUAAACUUCUCCCCCAGACGCCAAACAGAAAAUGAUCCAAAUCUUUAAUAAAAUCUUGUUCUUUUCGUUUUUCACUAAAACUUUUUCCUCUUUCUCUCUCACUUCCUUUUUUAUGUACACACAACCACUUUCACACAAAACUGGAGUUCUCAGCACUUGUUGGGUUCAAACAAAGGGUUUAUAUAAGGCUUCUAGUGACCAUCAACACCUGUGAUCACUAAUUAACCUGAUCAACACAAUUCAACUGGUUUCUUUUGAUACAAAACCAGCAGAGGGAGAUACUGUAUGACUCUCAAAGUAAACAACACAUACUGCUACAUGCAACAAUAGACACUGUUAACUACAAGCAUAAAAACAUUAAAUUACAGCAUUGGUGCAUUUAAG
ensembl:lncRNA